UACGAAGGGUGCAAGCGUUACUCGGAAUUACUGGGCGUAAAGCGUGCGUAGGUGGUUUGUUAAGUCUGAUGUGAAAGCUCUGGGCUCAACCUGGGAAUUGCAUUGGAUACUGGCAGGCUAGAGUGCGGUAGAGGAUGGCGGAAUUCCCGGUGUAGCAGUGAAAUGCGUAGAGAUCGGGAGGAACAUCUGUGGCGAAGGCGGCCAUCUGGACCAGCACUGACACUGAGGCACGAAAGCGUGGGGAGCAAACAGG
rnacentral:rRNA from 1 species